AGCGUAGGCGGUUCGGUAUGUCGAAUGUGAAAGCCCACAACUCAACUGUGGAAAUGCAUUCGAAACUGCCGGGCUAGAGUACUGGAGAGGAGAGCGGAAUUCUUGGUGUAGCGGUGAAAUGCGUAGAUAUCAAGAGGAACACCGGUGGCGAAGGCGGCUCUCUGGACAGAUACUGACGCUGAGGCUCUAAAGUUAGGGGAGCAAACAG
rnacentral:rRNA from 1 species